GGGGUUGUGGCUCAGUCGGUAGAGCGUCGGUUCGGCAGACCGAAGGCCCGGGGUUCGAUUCCCCGCUUCUCCA
rnacentral:tRNA from 1 species